UUUAAACUCACAUUAUGUAUAGAGGGCUGUUCCCACAGCAACUGUAAGAGUGAAACCAUUAUUAUCUUUGUUUCACAGACGCAAAAAUGUCAAGAGCUGAGAACAUGACUUUUUACGAUUAUAAAACCAGGAAAUUUUGGAAGAGCUAGUUCUGGAAUUCUGAAAGUUUUGGAGGCUUCCAAGGUGGUGCUAUCCUGGAAGAGGUGUGUUCCCUGCUCUUCUUAUCUACAUUCUGGUCUUUACCCAGGAAGUACAUCUACUAUCCUUGCAGAAAUCCUUUGCAGCAUAGAACAUUGCUACAGAGCUACAAGGAAUCCACAAACUUCUGCAGCUUGGAGCAGAGAACUGCAUGGCACUGGAAAAAGGGAGAAGUGAUCAAGAUGUGGGGUUGGAUUUUAUUGCAAACCUGUGAGUAGAGUCCUUUGGUAUGUUCCUGGUCCCUCAU
rnacentral:lncRNA from 1 species